rnacentral:rRNA from 1 species
UACGUAGGGUGCGAGCGUUGUCCGGAAUUAUUGGGCGUAAAGCGCGCGCAGGCGGUCCUUUAAGUCUGAUGUGAAAGCCCACGGCUCAACCGUGGAGGGUCAUUGGAAACUGGGGGACUUGAGUACAGAAGAGAAGAGUGGAAUUCCACGUGUAGCGGUGAAAUGCGUAGAGAUGUGGAGGAACACCAGUGGCGAAGGCGACUCUUUGGUCUGUAACUGACGCUGAGGCGCGAAAAGCGUGGGGAGCAAACAGG